ACGCUGACAAUGCUUAACACAUGCAAGUCUACUUGAACUUCGGUUUGGGUGGCGGACGGGUGAGUAACGCGUAAAGAACUUGCCUCACAGUUAGGGACAACAUUUGGAAACGAAUGCUAAUACCUGAUAUUAUGAUUUUAGGGCAUCCUAAGAUUAUGAAAGCUAUAUGCGCUGUGAGAGAGCUUUGCGUCCCAUUAGCUAGUUGGAGAGGUAACGGCUCACCAAGGCGAUGAUGGGUAGCCGGCCUGAGAGGGUGAACGGCCACAAGGGGACUGAGACACGGCCCUUACUCCUACGGGAGGCAGCAGUGGGGAAUAUUGGACAAUGGACCAAGAGUCUGAUCCAGCAAUUCUGUGUGCACGAUGAAGUUUUUCGGAAUGUAAAGUGCUUUCAGUUGGGAAGAAAAAAAUGACGGUACCAACAGAAGAAGUGACGGCUAAAUACGUGCCAGCAGCCGCGGUAAUACGUAUGUUACAAGCGUUAUCCGGAUUUAUUGGGCGUAAAGCGCGUCUAGGUGGUUAUGUAAGUCUGAUGUGAAAAUGCAGGGCUCAACUCUGUAUUGCGUUGGAAACUGUGUAACUAGAGUACUGGAGAGGUAAGCGGAACUACAAGUGUAGAGGUGAAAUUCGUAGAUAUUUGUAGGAAUGCCGACGGGGAAGCCAGCUUACUGGACAGAUACUGACGCUAAAGCGCGAAAGCGUGGGUAGCAAACAGGAUUAGAUACCCUGGUAGUCCACGCUGUAAACGAUGAUUACUAGGUGUUGGGGGUCGAACCUCAGCGCCCAAGCAAACGCGAUAAGUAAUCCGCCUGGGGAGUACGUACGCAAGUAUGAAACUCAAAGGAAUUGACGGGGACCCGCACAAGCGGUGGAGCAUGUGGUUUAAUUCGACGCAACGCGAGGAACCUUACCAGCGUUUGA
rnacentral:rRNA from 1 species